UACGAAGGGGGGCUAGCGUUGCUCGGAAUCACUGGGCGUAAAGGGUGCGUAGGCGGGUCUUUAAGUCAGGGGUGAAAUCCUGGAGCUCAACUCCAGAACUGCCUUUGAUACUGAAGAUCUUGAGUUCGGGAGAGGUGAGUGGAACUGCGAGUGUAGAGGUGAAAAUUUCGUAGAUAUUCGCAAGAACACCAGUGGCGAAGGCGGCUCACUGGCCCCGAUACUGACGCUGAGGCACGAAAGCGUGGGGAGC
rnacentral:rRNA from 1 species